GUUUAUGGCUGCGCUGAGAAGGAGGAGUCAGUGCUGUGAGGAGCUUCCCAUAAGAAAUCACCGAGAAGAGCCAGACAGAGCUGUUUGCAACAUCUGUAUUAGGGCUGGACACUGCAGAGGAAAGAACUCAGCAGCACUUCCACUUUACCUUUGACUCUUCUAAAGAGGGGCAGAUGGUUCUUUCUGGACCCUACUGGACCAGCCCCACCAAGGAAAUAUGGGGUAAAUAGAACCUUUUACAGGUUCUGAGUUAGAAUGGGCAUUGCAUUCCCAAGUUGGUUAAAACCAGUGGCACAAGAAAUGGUUCUUGCUGCAAAGCAUGCUGUGCAGUACUGCCUACAGCUGCCUUAGAAGGAUGAAAGGUUGGGGCAGCCCUGGGAGCAUUUGACACUGGGUCUGGGAGUCUAAUUAUGCCAAGCCUGAUGAUGAGACUCUUAAAUCAACCCUUCUAGCAUUUUAAUUAAUGCAAUCAUGCAUAAGACUGGCAGCAGAAUCACUUAUGGAGAGCAUUUCCAUUGAAGGCUGAAAAUUAAAGGAAAAAAGAUAGUGCUGAGUAUGGGUGAACCAACUUUAACUUGCUUGAGCUCUUGGGAUUGUAAGGAGGCUUUCCCUCUGUCCUUCAGUCUCACAUAGGCCUGCAUGCAACACAGGAUCAGUUGAAGUUGAUGAAAUAAAAAAAAAGUUCCCUAUGGACAGGAUGAUGCAAAGGUGAAUAUUCAACCAAAGGGAGAAGGUGUGAUGACACUCACUGAUGCCUUGCAAAAAUUCUGAAGUAUGAGCUGAAUUUUUGCCACCUGUACAGUGAAGUUCAGGAGCUGAAGGACAGUGCUGGAAUCCCUUCAUGAUGGCUAUGGUCUAGCUGCAUCUAGAGACCCGUUUCAUGGAAGGGACCUCUUUGCUUUAUCUCUGCUGACUAGCCUUUGGGAUGGAGUCAGUGGAAUAGUCUUUUUCCUUUCAAAAAACAGGCCUCCAAGUUUGAGAUUUCACUUCAAAGCUUAAUUUUCCAGAGUAGUGAAAAUAAUGCAAAUGAAAGGGAAAUCUUCCCCUGUGGUAUAACUGGCAAACACAUCACCACGAACAGGGGCUUAUUUAUGUUCAGGGUGGUGCAGAGCACUGGCACAGGUUGCUCAGGGAGGUUGUGGAGUCUUCCUGUCUGAAGACGUGCAGAAUGCACCUGGAACAGUUGCUGUAUAACCUGUUCUAGGUGACCCUGCCUUGGCAGGUUUGAAUAGGUGAUUGCCAGAGAUCCCUUCCAAUCCAUUCCAUGACUGUGAUUUCUGCUGUUUAAUAGAGGGUCCUAUAUUCCCAGCUUGGUGGGAGUUGAAACCUUUCCCAGUGUCUUUUAGAAAGAUCUCUUGCUUAUUUAUAAGGUGAUUAGCAAACAGUUUUGCUCCUGAAUAAUUUUAAGGAGGCCGAGAAAAACCUUUAUGCUAGCAAAUGAAUGCUGUCUGCCAAAACAGAAAUAACUCCUGUGUGUAUGAAAGCCACAAGGAAAAGGCCUCACUACUUUCCUGACAAGUUUAAAUAUAGGCAAACCAGUAGUUAGUGAUGUAAUGUCAAUGCUCUACCUUGUUUAUGAACAGUUAUUAGUUCAUAACCACAUAAAAAAGUCAUGCAUGGAAACAUACAGCAUGCCAAAUAAUGUUGCCAACUAUCAAA